UAGAAAACCAGGAAAGGCUGUAG
rnacentral:piRNA from 1 species